UACGUAGGGGGCAAGCGUUGUCCGGAUUUAUUGGGCGUAAAGAGCGUGUAGGCGGCUUGGUAGGUCCGCUGUGAAAACUCGAGGCUCAACCUCGAGAUGUCGGCGGAAACCACUUGGCUAGAGUCCGGAAGAGGAGAGUGGAAUUCCCGGUGUAGCGGUGAAAUGCGCAGAUAUCGGGAAGAACACCUAUGGCGAAGGCAGCUCUCUGGGACGGUACUGACGCUGAGACGCGAAAGCGUGGGUAGCAAACAGG
rnacentral:rRNA from 1 species